rnacentral:rRNA from 1 species
UACGUAGGGUGCAAGCGUUGUCCGGAAUUAUUGGGCGUAAAGAGCGUGUAUGCGGCCAGGUAGGUCUGGUGUGAAAACUCGAGGCUUAACCUCGAGAUGUCAUCGGAAACCAUCUGGCUAGAGUCCGGAAGAGGAGAGUGGAAUUCCUGGUGUAGCGGUGAAAUGCGCAGAUAUCAGGAAGAACACCAAUGGCGAAAGCAGCUCUCUGGGACGGUACUGACGCUGAGACGCGAAAGCGUGGGGAGCGAACAGG